rnacentral:rRNA from 1 species
AUUGAACGCUGGCGGCAGGCCUAACACAUGCGAGUCGAGCGGAUGAAGGGAGCUUGCUCCUGGAUUCAGCGGCGGACGGGUGAGUAAUGCCUAGGAAUCUGCCUGGUAGUGGGGGAUAACGUCCGGAAACGGGCGCUAAUACCGCAUACGUCCUGAGGGAGAAAGUGGGGGAUCUUCGGACCUCACGCUAUCAGAUGAGCCUAGGUCGGAUUAGCUAGUUGGUGGGGUAAAGGCCUACCAAGGCGACGAUCCGUAACUGGUCUGAGAGGAUGAUCAGUCACACUGGAACUGAGACACGGUCCAGACUCCUACGGGAGGCAGCAGUGGGGAAUAUUGGACAAUGGGCGAAAGCCUGAUCCAGCCAUGCCGCGUGUGUGAAGAAGGUCUUCGGAUUGUAAAGCACUUUAAGUUGGGAGGAAGGGCAGUAAGUUAAUACCUCGCUGUUUUGACGUUACCAACAGAAUAAGCACCGGCUAACUUCGUG